UACGGGGGGAGCAAGCGUUGUUCGGAUUUACUGGGCGUAAAGGGCGCGUAGGCGGCGCAACAAGUCAGUUGUGAAAUCUCCGGGCUUAACUCGGAAAGGUCAACUGAUACUGUGCGACUAGAGUGCGGAAGGGGCAACUGGAAUUCUUGGUGUAGCGGUGAAAUGCGUAGAUAUCAAGAGGAACACCUGCGGCGAAGGCGGGUUGCUGGGCCGACACUGACGCUGAGGCGCGAAAGCCAGGGGAGCGAACGGG
rnacentral:rRNA from 1 species